rnacentral:rRNA from 1 species
CCAGACUCCUACGGGAGGCAGCAGUGGGGAAUAUUGCACAAUGGGGGGAACCCUGAUGCAGCGACGCCGCGUGAGCGAAGAAGUACCUCGGUAUGUAAAGCUCUAUCAGCAGGGAAGAAGAUGACGGUACCUGACCAAGAAGCUCCGGCUAAAUACGUGCCAGCAGCCGCGGUAAUACGUAUGGAGCAAGCGUUAUCCGGAUUUACUGGGUGUAAAGGGAGCGCAGGCGGCCUUGCAAGUCUGAUGUGAAAGGCCGGGGCCCAACCCCGGGACUGCAUUGGAAACUGCGUGGCUAGAGUGCAGGAGGGGCAGGCGGAAUUCCUGGUGUAGCGGUGAAAUGCGUAGAUAUCAGGAGGAACACCGGUGGCGAAGGCGGCCUGCUGGACUGCAACUGACGUUGAGGCCCGAAAGCGUGGGGAGCAAACAGGAUUAGAUACCCCAGUAGC